GAUGAAGAACGUAGCGAAAUGCGAUAAGUAAUGUGAAUUGCAGAAUUCAGUGAAUCAUCGAAUCUUUGAACGCAUAUUGCGCCCCUUGGUAUUCCGAGGGGCAUGCCUGUUCGAGCGUCAUUAUAACCCCUCAAGCUCAGCUUGGUGUUGGGGCCUGCCGCACGGGCAGCCCUUAAAAUCAGUGGCGGUGCCAUCUGGCUCUAAGCGUAGUAAUUCUUCUCGCUAUAGAGUCACGGUGGAUGCUUGCCAUUAACCCCCAAUUUUCAAUGGUUGACCUCGGAUCAGGUAGGGAUACCCGCUGAACUUAAGCAUAUCAAUAAGCGGAGGA
rnacentral:misc_RNA from 1 species